CGAGAAAGCCCGCAAGGGUGAGUACAGCGGCGCACGGGUGCGUAACACGUGGGUAAUCUACCCUGAGGUCCGGAAUAACUCCCCGAAAGGGGUGCUAAUGCCGGAUGAGACCACGGGGGCUUCGGCUCUCGCGGGAAAAGGUGGCCUCUGUAUACAAGCUAUCACUUCAGGAUGAGCCCGCGGCCCAUCAGCUCGUUGGCGGGGUAAUGGCCCACCAAGGCUACGACGGGUAGCUGGUCUGAGAGGACGAUCAGCCACACUGGAACUGAGACACGGUCCAGACUCCUACGGGAGGCAGCAGUGGGGAAUCUUGCGCAAUGGGCGAAAGCCUGACGCAGCAACGCCGCGUGUGUGAUGAAGGUCUUCGGAUCGUAAAGCACUGUCGCGAGGGACG
rnacentral:rRNA from 1 species